UGUGGAUAUUGGGGGCUGGUCAUCAUCUGUUUGUUGUUCUUAUUUUGGACUUUCCUAGCAUUGUUGUGCUUAAGUUGAAAGUGUUACAUUAGUUUUAAUGUUCAAUGCAUAACGUCAUAUUCUUCUUUCUUUCACCCCUAGUGUAUUGAAGGCAACAAUAUGUCGAGCUUUUUAAGUGUUGUGCCUUGUAUGCAUUACAUUUUGUUUCGAACUUCCUCAUUCGAAUGAUUGUCG
rnacentral:misc_RNA from 1 species